rnacentral:lncRNA from 1 species
UCUUAAUAUAGAGUUUUGUUAUAUUGAAACUGUAAAACGUGCUGUCCAAAAGCAUAGUGGUCAGUCGUUGACCAUUGACAAUAGGAAUAUGUCACAAUAGUGAAAUAUAGAUUAUUAACAAAGAUAAGCACAUCAUGUUAUACAACGCAAACCUUGAAAAUAUUCAUUUCAGAUAUUCCAACACAAAUUCACAGUGCCAGUCCCGUUCCCCUUUCUCAAUUACAUUCUGGAGAAGAUGAAUCAGAGGAAGAUAGUAAGUAUGAAAUAAUUUCAAGUUACCGAUUUCUAUACAUUUCACCUUCUCCCGAGCUUUUGUAUGUUAGAACGACUGAGUACAGAUUCUAUUCCUUAAUUAGAUUCGACAAGUUUUGUUGUAUAAUAAUUCUAUUCAAUAUAUCGAUAUUACUGAAAUUUCACAAAAUAUCGAACGAGGUUAGCGUGGUUUGUAAAAUGAAAAAUUGAAACGGGAAUAUAUUUAGUAUAGUUUUGAGAAAGAGAGAACUAGGUUAAUUUGUUUAGGAAUAUAAAUUUCGAGUUAAUGACAGCCAUUUUUGUCACACUUUUUAUCAUGUUUACUUGAAGGUUAUUAUUGUUAUUGUUGCUAUUUGAACGGAUGUUUCUCAUAAUCUAGAAGAAUUAUAAUGAAAUGCGUUCCAAGUGUAAACUCUCUGUUAUGUUACACUGGUAGUAAUUUUAUUAUUACAUCCACUACACAUUGUCUUUUCCCGAAUAGAAAACAUUUCUUUGCUACUGUGAUAAUCGGUAUCUGCCUUUCUUACUUCAUGAAAGAUACAGGUUGCACGAUGCAAGUGAAUCACAGGCAACAGGCCGAACAUUUCUCGUCAGAUUUCCAGGCUCCUAUGGACUAGAUGAGUUGUCACUGUCCAAGUCAGUUCUUCUUCAGAACGAAAUUAGUUAAUAUUUUGGUGGCUCUUAAUAAAGAGUUUUGUUAUAUUGAAUCUGUAAAGCGUGCUGACCAAAAGCAUAGUGGUCAGCCGUUGACCAUUAAAAAUAAAGAUAUCUUACGGUAAUGGAAUAUUUUUGAUUGAUAGAUAUAAUCAUAUUAUAGUGUAAAAUGUAAAACUUGAAAAUAUAUUUUUCCGACACAUAGUCGCAAACAACACUGUCUCCAAACUUUCCUAUGCUUGAAACAGAAUCAUUUGAUCAUGAGUAUAAAAUAUCAUUACCUUAUCGAUUACUGUAAAUUUUAACUUUACUGAAUGACUGACAACAUCUUCCAAUCCAAAUUUUGCAUUUGAAAAGUUUGAUGCAUAAUAAUUCUAUUAAAUAUUCGUUGUGCAAGAUUUUUUUAUGUGAAGUCGUUUGUUGAAACAUAUUAUUAUAUUUCGGAAUGGUCAUUUUGCCAGUUUACCCAAUAAAACAUAUCGAUAUUAUUGUAAUUUCACAAAAUAUCCGAUGUGGUGAGCAUGGUUUGUAAAAGGGAUAACUUCGAAGACAAUAGAUUUAAUAUUUCACUUUGGAAGAGAAAACUAAUAUUUGUAGUUGUUUAGCGAUAAACAUUCGUGUUAAUGACAUUUCUCUUUGUUUUACAUUUUCUACUAUGUUUGCUGAUAGAUUAAUGUUGUUAUUUUGGCUGAUAUUUCUAAAAAAGUACUUUGAAAUGUAUUUCAAGUAUAAGCAGUCUGUUUUAUUUCACAGAUAUUUCAUUACAUACGCUACACAUUGCCCUUAUCCAACUUACUUCUGUGAUAGUUGUUGUCUAUAUUUCUUACUUCGAAACAGAUACUGGUUGCAAGAUACUAUACAAUAAUUGACAAUCUCUUCAUCCUUCAUCGUCUGAUUACCACGCUCCCACCUCUUGAACGGAUAGCAGACACAUCUCAGUUAACCAUUCUAGGUUUUAUAUGAGGGUAUAAUUUCCUAAAACCAACCAUUUGAUAAAGUGUCCUAGGUGCAUUUUAUUGUGGUACAAGUAAAAGAAACGUUGAUGUCUUUCUAAUAAAACCUCAAAGAAAGUCAGGAAUUAAACUUUUAACUGAGAGAUUGCAGCAAGAAGGAGGCAAGGGCAAAAACUGCAUUAUAUAAGCAUUAUAUAAUAGUAAGGGUUUGUAGUAUAAAAUUGAAGGGAUUUAUGACUGAUAUAAGGCAGAAAGAGUUCACUUAUGAAAGGAAUCUGAAUCACAAUCAAUUGGCCAAUUGAAAUUAGUUUCAAUCCUUAAUGACAAGCUUUACGUGGAUGUACAUGCUAAGAGAUCACCUAUACACCUACAAAAUAAUUGAUAUGUGAUGGAAAGUGUGCAGAGGACUGGAAAUCCCUGACUUUCUUGGUUUGAAGGACAUGAAAUGUCAAACUGGGAUCAACACAAAAAGAAGAAUUGAAGUAAUUGGAAUGUUGUAUGGCUCGAUCGCUCUAAAGCAUAUGGUUGUGGACCAUACAAUUUAUUGAUGAAAUCAAUGAACUUCUUUGACAUACUGGGGCAAUUUUAAGGUCUGAUGAUGAGCUGUUAUAACAAUUUCAAAAGGCAGCUCAUUACAAACCAUUUUACAGGGACUGUCAUCGGAAUUGGAGCAGGGUGCACAAUAUUAAUCCUUCAGUUUCGAGAUGUUACUUAGAUCAGUAGUCUGCUCAAAAGAAAUGACCCAAGUGAAAGCACCAGACAAGACAGUCAUGGAUGACAUAAAAAUACUAUGUAGAGACCAAAAUGUUAUGCAAAUAUUUCUGGAUAGCCUGGGUGGACUGAUUACUUUGUCAAGAAUUUGACUUGAAGCAAAUAAAUAAUACAAUCUGUUAUUUGUGGAAGAUCAGCAGAACAAAGUGAAGUUCAAAGUAGCUGGAGAAACUAUGCAUACGUUUAGCUUUAAACUUAUAAAAGUUUCGGCCAGUGUUGCGCUGCCUCUUUGUCCAAUAAUUGUAAGGGCAUUAAGAUGAAAACGAAAACAUGGGAAUGGGUUAAAAGAAAGAGAAUAUUCGAAACUUGCUGGCAAACGUAAGAUUCAAUGCUUCCAGUUUGAUCUAUAUUUGCGUCAUGCUUAUAUAUGCUUAAUUGUCAGUUAUUGUGUAUCAUUGCGAAUAUGUUUAUGCAAUAGUAUGUAGAUGACCAGUUAAAUGUAGUUAAUAAGGUUUUGUGCAAGUGUACAAUGUUUCAGGAUACCUGAUGUCGCGAUGUCAGAUUGUUUGAAGUUGUCCAGUAAUUAGAAAUUGGUGUGCAGUAAUUAAUUGAUUUAUCUAAUUUAGUAAAAAGUCGUUUCUGUUUUGUUUAUUCGAUAAUUAUUUACUUCAUUCUCUGAUAAAAUUCGUGCUGGGGCGGGCUUAUCUCAAUUUUGUAUGUCUAUUAUGUGUCGGAGAGAGAAAUCUUACCACAUGUAGUUUAAUUUCUACUCAGCCCUUUAAUAGAUCUAUAACCAGAGGUAACUGGUUAUAGCCUCAGUGAAAAAUACAGAUCUAACCCGUGAGAUAUUCCAUUCUUUCAUUUUGUUAAUCAUCACACAAGGAACUGCUAAAAUGCUGCGUUUUGUUGUGUACGGCGGAUUGUGGUAGCAGUCAGGGUAGAAUAUGAUAUCUCUCCACCGUGCAGUUUGUAAUUGUACAUCUGAUCUCCUUCUAGUGUUAACGACUUUUGUAAUGGUCAAGUUAAACAUUGCCAGAUAAUCACGGAUUUCUCUCUAUAGUAGUAAGCUCAACUGGUGUAUAUCAGUAUUUUCAGCUAGCGAGACUACUGGUGUAGCUAUUUCUGUGUUUAUCGACAAUUAAUGGGACGGAAGUGUUUUGGAAAUGGUGUUGUAUGAACUGUGUGCAAUAUUUUAGUUAAAUUAGGAAGAUUUGAGUUAUUAUAUCACGAAUUAUGUCGGAUGUUGCAGUUAAAAAAUAUUAUCUCUUCAUAUCUUUUAACAAUGUUUUAAACUUUUAUUUUUGCUGUUGUCUUUUCUUAGAUACAACAUUAAAUUUAUCGUUCCAUCCACUAAGCAUUGUCUUUAUCGAAGUAAUGACUUUGGUUUUCUGCUGAGAAACCAUUGUCUCUUUCUCUUUCAAGAUAAAUACUAGCUGCAUAUAACAAUACAAUCGAAUACAUCCUCAUCAUUUAUCGUCUGAUGUUCUUUCUAAAAUGUAUUUGAUGGGCGGUCUCUACCCAAGACACGUCCUAUUCUGAGAUACUAUCCACCCCCAUUGGUCGAGGAACAUAUGUCUCUUAAAGAUACCCGCUUUUCUACCGAUUGACUCUCAGGUUCAAGAUCUGAAGCUCAUUUCUCAACAUUCCUUCCAGUUUUCUUGAGGUUCUCUCCACAUUUACAGAUCGGUGCUCUUUAUACAGCUGAUCUUAUUCAUACACAUCACAUGGUCAUACUAGCACAGUCGUCUGUCUUGCGUACUACAUACAUGUGAUAACUCUCGAUUUUUAUCUUAAAACAUGUCAGCAUUGUAUACCUGCACACUGACAGUGACCAUCCAGUGGAGCAUGCUGUUUCCAUUUUGUUCAAGACUUUACACGUCCUCUGUGUUCACAGCAUAUAUUUCCCUACUAUGUAGCAUACACAGCUGUUCAUACACAGGCUGCCCAUUGAUGAUCAGAAACUCCAACAAUAAUAAAAUAUAUAUUAUUAAUAUCUAGAUAUAAAAUAUUUUAUAAUAAAAUUUAAAAACCUUGAAAUAUUUAUUUCAGGGUUUCCCAAGUCUCAGAACAAGCAAGUCCAGACAGAGGCAUUUACUUCAAAAGAUGCAUCACAGCAAGUUG